UUAAUUGAAGAGUUUGAUCAUGGCUCAGAUUGAACGCUGGCGGCAGGCCUAACACAUGCAAGUCGGGCGGUAACAGGGAGAAGCUUGCUUCUCUGCUGACGAGCGGCGGACGGGUGAGUAAUGUAUGGGGAUCUGCCUGAUGGCGGGGGAUAACUACUGGAAACGGUAGCUAAUACCGCAUAAUGUCUACGGACCAAAGCGGGGGACCUCCGGGCCUCGCGCCAUCAGAUGAACCCAUAUGGGAUUAGCUAGUAGGUAAGGUAACGGCUUACCUAGGCGACGAUCCCUAGCUGGUCUGAGAGGAUGAUCAGCCACACUGGGACUGAGACACGG
rnacentral:rRNA from 1 species